CAUUGAACUAUAAAUAAACUGGAAGGCUAACUGCUAUGAUGAAAGCCUAUGAUUUGAUGAAGCCAAAAUAGUUUUUCUGAGUUAUGAGCAGAAAUACUUGACCCCAAACGUCGGGCUAUAUAUCAAAUUGAAGCUAUUGAACAUUGCUAUUCGGUGUGGAAACUUCAAGACUUCAGCGAAAAGAAAAAUAUUUAAAAAAUACAAAAACGACUGCAAAACGGCAAAUUAUCGGUAAUUAUGUUUGUAGUUUUUCACUAUUUCCCUUUUAGCUAAAGUCUUGAAAUUUCUACACCAAGUAGUGUUUUUCAAUAGCUUCAAUUUGAUAUAUAGCCCAACGUUCAGUGUUGAGUAUUUCUGCUCAUAACUCAGAAAAACUAAAAUGCACUGGCUUCAAUCCCCCCCCCUGAGUUAGCCUUCCAGUUUACUUAUAGUUCAAUGGU